rnacentral:rRNA from 1 species
GACGAACGCUGGCGGCGUGCCUCAGACAUGCAAGUCGAACGAUUAAAGCUCUCUUCGGAGAGUGUAUAGAGUGGCGCACGGGUGAGUAACACGUAAGUAAUCUACCCUCGAGUGGGGAAUAACGUCCGGAACGGACGCUAAUACCGCAUAAUGCAGCGGCACCGCAAGGUGACAGUUGUUAAAGAUUUAUCGCUUGAGGAGGAGCUUGCGGCAGAUUAGCUAGNGGUAAGGUAAUGGCUUACCAAGGCUACGAUCUGUAACCGGUCUAAGAGGACGGUCGGUCACACUGACACUGAAUAACGGGUCAGACUCCUACGGGAGGGCAGCAGUCGGG